ACUUUUUUACUUUAACGACAUUCAAUUAGCUAGAAAUAACUAAGUAGGGAAAGUCGGUUCUCAUAAUCAAGAGGGACAAGUCUGCCUUUGUCGUGAGACAUGUUGGUAGACUAGAGCGGUUCGUAGUAAUUCUGCCUAAGCUCGACUCCUUCCAGCAGAAGACAAAAGAUUAGUUCGUAAGAUUUUAAAGUGUGUUACUAAUGACCAUUCCACAAUUAGUUUUCCGGUUUGUAUAUUUCACAUCCUUGAUCUCACUUGAGUACUAUAGCUUUAAAUUUCCGUUGUUUUCCCUACUUAGUAACCUCUAAUUGAAUGUCGUUAAAAAGUAAAAAGACACAUAACAACUUUUCAUAUUUGUAUAGUUCUCUUGGGGUGGGCGUAGCGUAGUUGAUAAAUCGAUUGCCUUGUACGCAGCGCACCUGGAUUUGAGUCCCGACCCCGCACAUAGGGUUAGAAAUUCUUCAUAUGGCCUUAAAGUUAAAACCUCUAUAAUCGAAAUAAAAAAAAUUAUUCUCUUCUUUUUGUUGACUGUUUUUUUACGAGAAUGGCGGUAAGGGAAGUGGACAUGAGCAUACCGGUUAUAUCCAGAGACACAUUCGAAACUUGGCUAACAAAGUACCGUCUGAGCUUAAAAAGUAUAAGCGGCGUAAGGUACCCCAGGUGGAAGAUCCUGAAAUGGUCAGGGCCGCUGAAAAAUGUGCCAAAAAGGAAGCAUCGACUGCCAACUACACAUUUAUUCGAGAUACUAUUGUCGAAUGUAGUAAACUGCACUUGACGCUGAUUGAUCGAAAAAAAGUGCCAACGAGAUCAUGGCUGUUUUUUCUCAUUUUCGUUCGUAUAGUGGCAAACUGAUUCAAAUAUUUUACGAGGGAAUGCACGACAACUACAGCAAGAACAUAGACCUCAAAAACAUUUUUGCUAAAGGACUAUUGCUCGGUAAAAGUGCGUUCGAGAGGGUAUAGGAUGAUAAUCUAAGGGGAUGUCUUCGUGUAAUGCUCAAGCUUAAUAAUAAGGGCAUCAAACGAAAUUCCAGCGGAGUAUCGAUUGACGUGGAUCUUGCUGCGCCGCUUAUUAGGUGGAAUGCAAUCGUAAAACAACCUGUACCAUUUCUAUCCACUGAUAAAAAUGUAAA